ensembl:lncRNA TMEM161B-DT TMEM161B divergent transcript
GUACGUGGGCGGGCGGAUCGUGGUGGCUGCGCUUGCGAGGACCCUGAGGUAGAUUGGGUGGUUUCAACAGGAACGCAUCCACUGUCUGAGAGUUUAAACUUGAUUUUGUGAGGGGACGAACAGCGUGACAAUUAAAAGAAGAUCUGGGAAUCAAAAGCUUCCUGAGGCCUUCACCAGAAGCAGAUGCUGGUGCCGUGCUUCUACAGCCUGCAGAACUGAAGGACUUUACAGCUUCUCUUUCGCAUAUCCAAAUUGCCAGCAUCACCGCUCUUGCACUCCAAGCCAUUAUUAAGUAAAGUAAAGAACACAAACACUGUGAUACUGCUACACUUGAUCUGAUAACCAAGAAGUCUACUAAGUGACUAACAGAGCAACUGGGAACCUAAUUCUGACCAAAAAGGAGGAAUUGUUUGGCUAAUUGGAAGUGACAGAAACCUUGGGAGAAAGCAACCGCAUACCAAGGAUAAUUAUAAGAAGAUUUAUAUAUCAGCUUUUUAUCAGUUGAAAUAAACCACCCUGGGCCGGGUGCAGUGGCUCACACCUGUAAUCCCAGCACUUUGGGAGGCCGAGGCAGGUAGAUCAUUUGAGGUCAGGAGUUCAAGGCCAGCCUGACCAACAUGGUGAAACCGCAUCUCUACUAAAAAAUACAAAAAUUAGCCCGGUGUUGUGGCAGGCGCUUGCAAUCCCAGCUACUCAGGAGGCUGAGGCACAAGAAUUCCUUGAACCUGGGAGGUGGAGGUUGCAGUGAGUCGAAACCAAGCCACUGCCCUCCAGUCUGGGCAACAGAUUGAGAGUCUGUCUCGAAAAAAAUAAAUACAUAAAAUAAAUAAGCCACACUGUACUUGUGAAGAUUAACUGAGAUGUUUAAAACAUUAUUUGCAAAAAUGCAAGACAUGAUGUAAGUGUAAAGCAUUAUUAUAUAUCAACAUAAUUGACCAUUAGAAAAAUGCAAAUUAACACCUCAAUGAGAUAUAUCACCAGACACCUGUUAGAAUGGUUAAAAUAAAAAGUACUGAUGAUAUUAAGUGCUGAUAAAAUGCAGAGUAACUCGAUCUCUCAUACAUUGCUGAUGCUAAUGUAAAAUGAUAUCACCACUCUAGAAAACAGUUUGGCAGUUUCUUAUAAAGUUAAACAUGCACUUACUAUACAACCCAGUAAUACACCUACUGGAUAUUCAUUCUAGGGAGAUCAAAAUUUACACCCAAAAACAUGUACAUAAAUGUUCAUAUCAGCUUUAUUUACAAUAGCCCAAAAGGAAACAAUCAGAUGUCCUCCAAUUGAUAACUGGUAUAACCCUAUCACAGAAUCCUACUGAGCAAUAAAAAGGAAAGCACUGUUGAUACAUACAACAACUUGAGUGCAUUUCAAGGCUGUUAUGCUGACUGAAAUAAAAGCUAAUCUCAAAAGGUUAUGUAUUAUGUGAUUCUGUUUAUAUAACAUUCUCAAAUUGCAAAAUCACAGCAAUGAAGAACUGAUCAGUAGUGCCAGGGGUUAGGGUUGUGGGGAGGGUGUGAUGAUGAAUGGGCAGCGUAAGAGAAUUUCUUUGGAGUGAUGGAAUAGUUUUAUAUCUUGAUUAUAGUGAUCAUUAUAUUAAACAAUUGCAUGUGAUAAAAUUCUAUAGGACUGUAUGCCAAAAAUAACUUAAUAUGUUUAUUUUUAAGGUCUGGAAAGCAUGGAAAUUUGUAUCUUCAUUCACUUUUGUUUUCAUGGACUCUUUUCAUGUUUGAACUUUUCAUGGUAUGAGCUGUUUUAUAAUCUAUAAUAUGGAAUGUUUCUCAUACGAAUGUUUUUCUUAUUGAAGAAUGCCAUAGAAAUAAGGGUGUGAGGUAUACUUACUUGACAGGAGAAUUUUACUCCUUUUAUUUUAUUUACUUAUUUAUUUUUAAGACGGAGUCCUGCUGUGUUGUCCAGGCUGGUCUUGAACCCCUGGACUCAAACGAUCUUUCUCCUUGGCCUCCCAAAGUUCUGGGAUUACAGGUAUGAGCUACAGUGCCCUGAGAGUCCUUUUUAAAGUAGUGAAUGCUCAAACAUGGAAUUAAAUUUAGGCAAAGCUCACUUUUAUUUAUACAUAAAACAACUUCAGCCAUGUACCUCAUAACGAUAUUUUGGCCAAUGUCUGACCUUAUAUACAAUGGUUGUCCUGUACGAUUAUAAUGAAGCUGAAAAUUUUCUAUUGCCUAGUAACAUUGUAGUAAUUGUAAUGUAGCACAACCUAUCACACGUGUUUGUAGUGAUGCUGGUGUAAACAAACCGACUGCAUUGCCAGUCUAGUAUAAAAGUCUAGCACACACAAUUAUCCACAGUAUAUAAUAGUUGAUAAUGAUAA